UUUCAAUAUAAUAGGAGAAGAAUAUAUUUUAUUAUGGAAGAUUAUCAAAGGAGUAUUUUCAAUAGGAGUUCAAAGAUGCUACUAUUAUUUAUGGAAAAAUAUUCUUACUACAUUUCCCCUUGAUAUGGAAAGAAAAUAAUGUAUGGAAAUAAGGUUGAGUUCCAUAUAAAGAAUGACUAUUGCUCUUAUGGAAAUACAUCAAGACUAUAGAAGAUUGAAGAAGAUGCACGUGGAGAUGGAGUUAUGAAAUGCAAAGUUCUGUAAAGAAGAUCAACCAAGAUAUUGCUUGCAAAUAAAGAGAAAAUAUUCUACUACCAUAAAAGGAAAAGAAUCCUCUACACAAGGAUUCUCAUGCUGGUACUUAAUGAAGAAUUUAUAUAUUCAAGAAAGGAAAGUGGAGACAAUUAGAAUCUGUCCAAGUACAUGAAGUCAAACAAAGAAAGGAAAUCAAUAUUGCAAAGUUGCCGAUAUCCAUCUUCAAAGGAGUGCCACGUCAACAUAUUAUCCUUAAUCAUACAAGUGCUGGAGCUACAAAUUAUGGAAACAAAUAAAUGAGCAACGGUCAAAUCCCCUUGGGUCAUGCAAUAGCCAUAACAAGUUGAAAGGGCUAUAAAUAUACAAGCUCGAUGAAGGAAGAAAGUACGCAGGCUUUUAUACAAUUUUCUAUCCAACUACAAGUUCUUUAUUCUACUCUUAACAAGCAUUGUAAUUCACUUUAGUAGAUUUACUGUGUACCCAAAAGAGAGAAGAGAGGCAGAAAAAUAUUGGAGAGGCAGUGUGUCCUAGAGGUUGUGUCAUUGUUCGUUUCUUUGGUGAGCGAGUGAAAACCAACCCUGUCAGCGUUGUGGUGAUCGCUGAAAAUCACAAAGGCUGUACUCAAUUCAAUUUAUGAAGAGCUCUAAAAAACAACACUCUUACAACCCAAGAGGACUGAAUUAGGAUACCACAUUGGUUUCAAACCAGUAUAAAAUUCCUGGUGUCAUUUACUUUAUCGCUCUUAUACUAUAUUCUGUUCCUUUACUGUUUAUUGUGAUUAACACUUGUUUAAAUCGAAAGGACUAACAGUUCUGUGCAGGCUAUCUCUGCAUAAGUCGACGAAGUCUGAAGAGUAGUCGACUAGAAAUUUAAAAAGGCUACAAUUCACCCCUCUUGUACUUUCAAUCAUAAGGCGCCGAUGAUGCUAAAAUGUGAAAUUUCUCCUUUUAAACACAAAAAAUAAGUCAAAUAAAAAGGAUCUCAUUCAAAAGUAAAGGAUGUACCUGAUGGCUGGUGUUGAACUCAUGUGUCUUCUUGAUUGCUAGAGAGAAGAUAUGAAGAGAAUACAAAAUUCAAAGCAUCUCUAGUCGAAAAAGUUUGAGAAUAAGAAAUAUAAAGGUCAAGUAAACGCUUGAAAUCUAACGUUAUUGAUAUAUUUUUUAUCCGUUGUUGCUUUCACUCUGUAUGAUAUUUAAAUGACGUAGGAGGCAAAUGAU
rnacentral:lncRNA from 1 species